ensembl:misc_RNA 7SK 7SK RNA
GGAUGUAAGGGUGCUCUGGCUGCGAUAUCUGUCACCCCAUUGAUUGCCAGUGUUCAUUUGGCUGAUCUGGCUGGCUAGGCAUGUGUCCCCUUCCUCCCUCACUGCUCCAGGUGCAUCCCUCCUGAAUGCACAUGGUUGAAGAGGAUGACUAUACCCGAUAGAGGAGGACCAGUCUGGUCAAGGGUAUACAAGUAGCUGCACUCUCCUGCUAGAACCUCCAAACAAUCUCUCAAAUACCAGAAGCUAAAAAAAACACUUGGGAAAUUCAUUGCAAAAAGAUUAUCACCUAGGUAAAUAUUCAUU